rnacentral:tRNA from 1 species
GCUUCGGUAGCUCAGUAGGUAGAGCACCUGACUGUUAAUCAGGGGGUCGUCUGUUCGAGUCAGACUCGGAGCG